rnacentral:rRNA from 1 species
CCUACGGGAGGCAGCAGUGGGGAAUUUUGGACAAUGGGCGCAAGCCUGAUCCAGCAAUGCCGCGUGCAGGAUGAAGGCCUUCGGGUUGUAAACUGCUUUUGUACGGAACGAAACGGUGAGCUCUAAUAAAGUUUGCUAAUGACGGUACCGUAAGAAUAAGCACCGGCUAACUACGUGCCAGCAGCCGCGGUAAUACGUAGGGUGCGAGCGUUAAUCGGAAUUACUGGGCGUAAAGCGUGCGCAGGCGGUUAUAUAAGACAGAUGUGAAAUCCCCGGGCUCAACCUGGGACCUGCAUUUGUGACUGUAUAGCUAGAGUACGGUAGAGGGGGAUGGAAUUCCGCGUGUAGCAGUGAAAUGCGUAGAUAUGCGGAGGAACACCGAUGGCGAAGGCAAUCCCCUGGACCUGUACUGACGCUCAUGCACGAAAGCGUGGGGAGCAAACAGGAUUAGAUACCCUGGUAGUCCACGCCCUAAACGAUGUCAACUGGUUGUUGGGUCUUCACUGACUCAGUAACGAAGCUAACGCGUGAAGUUGACCGCCUGGGGGNGGUACGGCCGCGAGGUAGUAAACGUUAAAGGUAAAGUUAGACGGCGUGAGACGUGACCGAACGGACGACCGACGAGGGAGGGAGGG